rnacentral:rRNA from 1 species
GAUGAACGCUGGCGGCGUGCCUAAUACUUGCAAGUCGAGCGAACGGACGAGAAGCUUGCUUCUCUGAUGUUAGCGGCGGACGGGUGAGUAACACGUGGAUAACCUACCUAUAAGACUGGGAUAACUUCGGGAAACCGGAGCUAAUACCGGAUAAUAUUUUGAACCGCAUGGUUCAAAAGUAAAAGACGGUCUUGCUGUCACUUAUAGAUGGAUCCGCGCUGCAUUAGCUAGUUGGUAAGGUAACGGCUUACCAAGGCAACGAUGCAUAGCCGACCUGAGAAGGUGAUCGGCCACACUGGAACUGAGACACGGUCCAGACUCCUACGGGAGGCAGCAGUAGGGAAUCUUCCGCAAUGGGCGAAAGCCUGACGGAGCAACGCCGCGUGAGUGAUGAAGGUCUUCGGAUCGUAAAACUCUGUUAUUAGGGAAGAACAUAUGUGUAAGUAACUGUGCACAUCUUGACGGUACCUAAUCAGAAAGCCACGGCUAACUACGUG